UGGGGAAUUUUGGACAAUGGACGCAAGUCUGAUCCAGCCAUUCCGCGUGCAGGACGAAGGCCUUUGGGUUGUAAACUGCUUUUGUACAGAACGAAAAGGUCUCUAUUAAUACUAGGGGCUCAUGACGGUACUGUAAGAAUAAGCACCGGCUAACUACGUGCCAGCAGCCGCGGUAAUACGUAGGGUGCAAGCGUUAAUCGGAAUUACUGGGCGUAAAGCGUGCGCAGGCGGUUAUAUAAGACAGAUGUGAAAUCCCCGGGCUCAACCUGGGAACUGCAUUUGUGACUGUAUAGCUGGAGUGCGGCAGAGGGGGAUGGAAUUCCGCGUGUAGCAGUGAAAUGCGUAGAUAUGCGGAGGAACACCGAUGGCGAAGGCAAUCCCCUGGGCCUGCACUGACGCUCAUGCACGAAAGCGUGGGGAGCAAACA
rnacentral:rRNA from 1 species